GCAGUCGAGCGCUGAUGCCGACAGCGCUGUGGUUGGUGGAUGAUUGGCGAACGGGUGAGUAACUCAUGAGUAACCUGCGCCUGAUUUCCUGAUAAGCCUGGGAAACUGGGACUAAUACCGGAUAUGACCAAUCCUCUCAUGAGAGUUGGUGGAAAGUUUUUCAAUCGUCUGUGGGCUCGCGGCCUAUCGCUUGUUGGUGGGGUAAUGGCCUACCACGGCGACCACAGGCAACCAUGCUGAGACGACCAGAGGCCACACUGGGACUGAGAGACACUCCAAACUCCUACAGAAGCCUACAGUGGGGAAUAUUGCGCAAUGUGGGAAACCGUGAUACAGCCACACAGCGCGCGGGAUGACGGCCUUCGAGUUGUUUACCACUUUCAACAUGUGAUAACCGAAAGUGACGCUACCUGCAGAAAAUGUACCGGCUAAGUACGUGCCAGAGCCGCGGUAAUACGUAACUAACUACCGUUGUCCGCAAUUAUUGGGCGUAAACAGCUCGUUAUCCGGUUGGUCACGUCUGCUGUGGAAACGCAGCGCUUAACGUUGCGCGUGCUUUGGGUACUGGGCUGACUACACUGUUCUAAGUGAAUCUGG
rnacentral:rRNA from 1 species